rnacentral:misc_RNA from 1 species
GUACAUUUUGGAUUAUACAGCUGUGGUUACUGUCUUACUAUCCUAAGCUGGCAAAUACUCUACCAACCCCUAUUGAUAAUUUCUUUGGUAGGAGAGUUGCUUCUUUGGCCUGCACUUGGGAUGAGGGCUAGGUACUGAAGUUCCUAGUUCAGUUACUUGCUCGGGUCUUUUCUGGCUUCACUUCUUUUGAUGACACUAAAACCCUUGAGUCUGCUAGCCUUCCCACCUGGCUUAUCUGUUCCAUAGUCACUUUUACAAAUGAAGUUGUUAG